rnacentral:rRNA from 1 species
AACGCUGGCGGCAUGCCUAACACAUGCAAGUCGAACGAGACCUUCGGGUCUAGUGGCGCGACGGGUGCGUAACGCGUGGGAACCUGCCUUUAGGUUCGGAAUAACUCAGAGAAAUUUGAGCUAAUACCGGAUAAUGUCUUCGGACCAAAGAUUUAUCGCCUUUGGAUGGGCCCGCGUUGGAUUAGCUAGUUGGUGGGGUAAAGGCCUACCAAGGCGACGAUCCAUAGCUGGUCUGAGAGGAUGAUCAGCCACACUGGGACUGAGACACGGCCCAGACUCCUACGGGAGGCAGCAGUGGGGAAUAUUGGACAAUGGGCGAAAGCCUGAUCCAGCAAUGCCGCGUGAGUGAUGAAGGCCUUAGGGUUGUAAAGCUCUUUUACUGGGGAUGAUAAUGACAGUACCCAGAGAAUAAGCUCCGGCUAACUCCGUG